GACGAACGCUGGCGGCGUGCCUAAUACAUGCAAGUCGAACGCACAGUUUAUACCGUAGCUUGCUACACCAUAGACUGUGAGUUGCGAACGGGUGAGUAACGCGUAGGUAACCUGCCUGGUAGCGGGGGAUAACUAUUGGAAACGAUAGCUAAUACCGCAUAAUAUUAAUUAUUGCAUGAUAAUUAAUUGAAAGGUGCAAUUGCACCACUACCAGAUGGACCUGCGUUGUAUUAGCUAGUAGGUGAGGUAACGGCUCACCUAGGCGACGAUACAUAGCCGACCUGGGAGGGUGAUCGGCCACACUGGGACGGAGACACGGCCCAGACUCCUACGGGAGGCAGCAGUAGGGAAUCUUCGGCAAGGGACGAAAGUCUGACCGAGCAACGCCGCGUGAGUGAAGAAGGUUUUCGGAUCGUAAAGCCCUGUUGUAAGAGAAGAACGGGUGUGAGAGUGGAAAGUUCACACUGUGACGGUAUCUUACCAGAAAGGGACGGCUAACUACGUG
rnacentral:rRNA from 1 species